rnacentral:rRNA from 1 species
UACGAAGGGGGCUAGCGUUGCUCGGAAUCACUGGGCGUAAAGGGUGCGUAGGCGGGUCUUUAAGUCAGGGGUGAAAUCCUGGAGCUCAACUCCAGAACUGCCCUUGAUACUGAGGAUCUUGAGUUCGGGAGAGGUGAGUGGAACUGCGAGUGUAGAGGUGAAAUUCGUAGAUAUUCGCAAGAACACCAGUCGCGAAGGCGGCUCACUGGCCCGAUACUGACGCUGAGGCACGAAAGCGUGGGGAGCAAACAGG